rnacentral:rRNA from 1 species
ACGGAAUAGAUACCCAGGUAGUCCACGCCCUAAACGAUGUCUACUAGUUGUCGGGUCUUAAUUGACUUGGUAAACGCAGCUAAACGCGUGAAGUAGACCGCCUGGGGAGUACGGUCGCAAGAUUAAAACUCAAAGGAAUUGACGGGGACCCGCACAAGCGGUGGAUGAUGUGGAUUAAUUCGAUGCAACGCGAAAAACCUUACCUACCCUUGACAUGGAAGGAAUCCCUGAGAGAUUGGGGAGUGCUCGAAAGAGAACCUUUACACAGGUGCUGCAUGGCUGUCGUCAGCUCGUGUCGUGAGAUGUUGGGUUAAGUCCCGCAACGAGCGCAACCCUUGUCAUUAGUUGCUACG